UUCAUAAUUGUCUCGUGAGAAUUUUAUACAUUGUCAGCUACUGAAUGUCGGGUAUAAUGCUGCAAAUAGAACGGAAGUGAGGCAGUGCCAACAUUCAUCGUUUGGCAAGAAACUACGAGUAUUACAUUAUGGGACACACGGGGUCUUGUGGACCGCUCCCCCCUUCCUAACAACAUUUUGUUGGUUACAAGUGUCUAAUCUUCUGCUCUACGCUCGGUGCUGGCUUUGUAUUGCGAAUCUUUCUUACUGAUGAUAAGCAAAUCUAGGUACUCUACCAACCCCACCAAAAGACGAUUCUACAUGGAAAUGACAAUUAAGUUAUUUGUAGAUUUGCAUGGUUUCCAAAAUAGCUUAUAAUUCAUAUCGUCACUGUUAAUACCACAACUAUUUUUUUUUACUCUGAUUGAUUAUUAUUCAGUCUUUAUAUAAAGCUGUACUUUGAUCGUAUUUGAUUACAAUUAUGCAUCCAUAAAUCAAUUGAUGUCUGGAGUCUAAGAUUACCCCUUGUUGACGACAAUGUUUUUCGCGUGACGUGUCCACACUUGGUUCCUUCGUGCUUGAGAAAGGAUUGACGAUUUAAUAUUACCUUUAACUUAACGAUCUAUUAACAAAUCGGCUCCAUGUUAUCUUUAAAAUCGAGUAUCAUCCAAACCAUUCUCUACGAUCAGACGACAAAUCGUUAUCGGAUAUUCCUACUCAGAACGCGAAAAAAUCUCGAUCCAGAACCUUUUACGGUACAUCUAUGUAAUUCUGUGUCAGGUUAUGAAUCUGGAAUGGUUCUCCAAUCUUUAAUACUGGAAAUGUUUAAUAAAAAGUCUCGGAUAACGGACUAGUAACGGGUGCUACUAAGUCGGAUAGAUCACGUCUAUUCAUUUGUGGAGUAUAAGGUUUGCCACAAGCAAGCACUGAUAGAAUAAUUUAAAAUAGAUUAAUCAUACGCUCGACAUGUUCUUCACAAGACAGACCAUGUCAAAGAGUUGUACUAAAUUAACACGGCAUCAGCAUUACAUGACAUUGUUUCAACCGUGGCACAAUCUGAUUAAAACACAUAUCCUACUUCGUUUCGUUUUUCAUAGAUUAAAAUUUCGUUUUACUUGUCUUUACUACACUAGGAUCUGGAAGAGUUGUUAUAUAACCCGCGUACUGGAUGAUGUGAGGGAUUAGCCAAUGAAACGAUCUGUUACGGUGAGUUUUUGGCGUGAUGUGCACGGAAAUGUGGAUAACCAACUAGAAACAUCAACGCUGAUUGGUUAGUCAAAUGUCUGACGUCAUAGGGCCAAAAAACCGCUCGUAUGACCUCUGACGCGAACUUCCACAACAACUGGUCAGAUCUUCAUGUAGUGUAGGCUAUCGAAAGUAUAAAAAAACGAAACGAAAUUAUAGAUCUGUAUUUUAAUGAGUGGCGGGUCACCUUUUCAUAGCAAAUACACGAUCAACCGGUUGAAAGAAUAAUCGUUGUCAUAAGAGUUUUAAUUAAAUGAAAUGGGGUUUAACGUCCUACUGUUCUGCUCCAAACUGGGCUAAUGAAGACGGGCAUACGCCAUACAGUGUGCUAUGAGGGAAAUUUUGCCCGGACAGCGGCACUACGGCCUACUCUUAUAUCGAAUUCCAAUCAUCAAGGGAUCUUUUACGUGCAUGCCAAUGUGUACACGGGACCUCGUUUUUUCGUCCCAUCCGAACGACUAAACAGCUGUCCUUGUCAGCCCCCCCCCCCGUCCUGCACCACUGACAAGGGGGAACCACGCCGGAAAAGAGUUUAAAUGAAUACAGAUUAAAAUGUGAAGACUUUUACUUUUAAAAUGAUUAAAAUAUUAUCUGAAAUAUUCUAGAUAUAAAUUGUAACAGAUAGAUAUUAUUCAACCUGCACAGUUACAAUGUUAUUGUUAUUUGAUCUUUGCACAAUUGUGGGUUGGGCCUAACUAUCUUGUUAUCAGGUAAUCAGGGGUCAUGGGAUGUUUACUUUGUUAUUUUAAAUUUAUUUACUUGCAUCGUGAAAAUAUUAUACCAUGCGAGAGGAUUUGACAAAAUAUUUUAAUCGUUUUCUCCUGAUUCAAUUCGAAAAUUAACAUGGAGUUGUUCGGUGAUGUUCUCUUUAUAUUUACUACAUUUACCGGCUGGAUAACAGUGCAAGGGGCAGUGUCUUAUACAAAAUGUACAAAAGUGACCAGUUGUUCCUGUCUAACGGACAGUGGAUUAAUAGUUGAUUUGUCCCCAUUGACCGACACAAGCGGUAAAGCUAAGUAAGUAGGCUUAGCCACUACACAAGUAAGUAAGCUUGGCCACCAUGCAAGUAAGUAAUCGUGGUCUGUGCCACAUAAGUAACCUUGGUCACUAGAAGUAUAGGCUUGACCAGUGGCCACCAUACAAGUAAGUUCUUCAAAUAAUGGGAAAAGGAUCAUACCACGAUUUCGGGUUGGCGCAGAUACCUCAUCUAUCAUACCGAGUCGGUCAUAUUUGUUACUUUCUCCUUCGCUCAUUCCAUGUUAAACUAGACAAAUAUCAUCACAGAAAUAUGAUCAACAUGUCUGAAAAUAUCCUGUAAAUGGACGAGGUCUCGUAUCAAAAACUGAAGAUCGUCGGGAUGAACACGAUUGUUUCAAUUAGCACGAGUUACCACCCUUUUUAUUGAUCUACUUAUUCUGACAUUUAUACACAAACGUCUGCCGGCCCCAACCCAACCCAGCUCAACCUUACAUACCAUCUCUUUAAAGGGAGAGAGAGAAAGAGAAAUGGGUUUAACGCCUACUCGACACAAACUAGGUCAUUUCGGGACUAAAAUAUGGUUUAAUUUUAUUUCAAUGAUUCGAUUGCGCGUAGGGGUCUUUAGCAGUGGGCGGAAACCGGGGAUUCGAAACCACGCCAGUUGACUCAAUGACAGGUCUUAUGAUACAGCGCGCACGUGCUAACCAUUCGGUCAUCCAACCCGCUCUCUUUAAAGGAGGCAAGUCUUUAAGUCAAUAUCAUCCACAGUCUUCGACAUUGCAAACACGACAUUAAUUUAAAUCAACAAAGGUGUUGUUAUCUUCCCGUGAAACGAUAAACGUCUGUUAUCCAAUGUUUAAGACAGAAUUAAUUCUUUUUUAACUGGCACACCAUUCGACCAUUUGUAAGGAAGUAACUGGUUGAAUAAGGCUAAACAUACCUCACAGGAGAAUACUACCAAUUUUCGCUGGAGUAACCAGAUGCCAAAGACUGCCAUUCAGUUUUUCGCCGAACGCAUAACUAAUUAGAAAUUACAGUAACAGCAGAAACAAUUGAAUGUAAAUCAGUUUAUAUACAUUUAUAUUACAUUAUUAUAUGCGUUGCCACCCAUUUGUGUCCAUUUCUAGGUGCCAAUGAAUAGAGAAUUAGCUCUUAUAAGUAUAAGUUACUGUUCUGCUUUUUGCACGAUUUUAUCCAAACGUAUAUAUUGUCCCGUACGGCACACGCGGUUUCAGCUAUCCCAUUACUCCAUGGGACGAUAUACUUGAAGAAACGUUUCGUUUUAGGUUUGCUGAUGUGACGGCUACAACGGGCGAUGGGUUUUCAUGGAAUCCAUGUGUAGAUUUUACGGAGAAAGCUGACACUCACUGUGUUAAUGUUGCCGCUUGUCAAAUACAGAAAGGCGGAGACAAAACACGAUACUUCGCUCUAGGUGACCAGAAUUCUGCAGCGUUCCAAAUAAACGACAAGAAAAAUUUAGAAGUUACUUAUACCAGUAAACCGGAUCCUACAUUACCAAGAAUAGCUGUUGUAGAAUUGGUUUGUGACGAAAGUCAAGAAGGGUCAUUAACAGCUGCAGGUGAAUCUGGACCUGCUUCAGGAAAGUAUCUUAUGUCCUUAACAAGUAAAUAUGCAUGUGCUAAAAAACCAGAACCUGGCAGUUCAUCGACUACUUUAACUGUGGGUUCUAUAAUACUUAUAGUAGUUCUGGUAUUGGUUAUUGUGUAUGUGGUAGUUGGAGUUUCUAUAAAUAAAUUUGCACGACACGCUACUGGUAAAGAGGUGGUACCAAACUAUACUUUCUGGACGGCACUUCCGGGUUUAAUAAAGGAUGGUGUUUUGUUAAUAUUUUCAAUAUGCAGAAGGUCGGGCAGCGAAUAUAAUAAAAUAUAAUGUUUCACAUGGUUUUCAUCUUUUUAAUUAUGUCAUGUUUUUCAAGUAUUAAAAAUCUGUUUUUUAGUUUA